rnacentral:tRNA from 1 species
UAGCUCAGUUGGUAGAGCGCAAGACUUUUAGCUUUGUGGUCGUGGGUUCAAGCCCCAC